rnacentral:rRNA from 1 species
UACGGGGGGUGCAAGCGUUAUUCGGAAUCAUUGGGCGUAAAGAGCGCGUAGGCGGUCGUCUAUGUCAGGUGUGAAAGCCCGGGGCUAAACCUCGGAAGUGCAGAUGAUACUGGUGGACUCGAGUAUGGGAGAGGGAAGUGGAAGUUCUGGUGUAGCGGUGAAAUGCGUAGAGAUCGGAAGGAACACCAGUGGCGAAGGCGGCUUCCUGGCCUAAUACUGACACUGAGGCACGAAAGCGUGGGGAGCAAACAGG